rnacentral:rRNA from 1 species
AACCAUGCAAGUCUAAGGUAUAAGCCAACUAUGACUGUGAACUGCGAAUGGCUCAUCAAAUCAGUUAUCGUUUAUUUGAUAGUACCUUACUACUUGGAUAACCGUGGUAAUUCUAGAGCUAAUACAUGCACAAAACCUCGACUUCGGAAGGGGUGUAUUUAUUAGAUAAAAAACCAAUGCCCUUCGGGGCUCUCUGGUGAUUCAUAAUAACUAAACGAAUCGCAUGCCUUGCGCUGGCGAUGGUUCAUUCAAAUUUCUGCCCUAUCAACUUUCGAUUGUUAAGUAGUGGUUAACAAUGGUUUCAACGGGUAACGGGGAAUUAGGGUUCGACUCCGGAGAGGGAGCCUGAGAAACGGCUACCACAUCCAAGGAAGGCAGCAGGCGCGCAAAUUACCCAAUCCCGACACGGGGAGGUAGUGACAAUAAAUACUGAUACAGGGCUCUUUUGGGUCUUGUAAUUGGAAUGAGUCACAUUUUAAAUCCCUUAACGAGGAACAAUUGGAGGGCAAGUCUGGUGCCAACAGCCGCGGUAAUUCCAGCUCCAAUAGCGUAUAUUAAAGUUGUUGCAGUUAAAAAGCUCGUAGUUGAACCUUGGGCCUGGUGGCCGGUCCGCCUCACCGCGUGCACUGGUCCGGCCGGGCCUUUCCUUCUGGGGAUCCGCAUGCCCUUCACUGGGUGUGCCGGGGAACCAGGACUUUUACUUUGAAAAAAUUAGAGUGUUCAAAGCAGGCCUUUGCUCGGAUACAUUAGCAUGGAAUAAUAGAAUAGGACGGCUUUCCUAUUUUGUUGGUUUCUAGGGGAGCCGUAAUGAUUAAUAGGGAUAGUCGGGGGCAUCAGUAUUCAAUUGUCAGAGGUGAAAUUCUUGGAUUUAUUGAAGACUAACUACUGCGAAAGCAUUUGCCAAGGAUGUUUUCAUUAAUCAGUGAACGAAAGUUAGGGGAUCGAAGACGAUCAGAUACCGUCGUAGUCUUAACCAUAAACUAUGCCGACUAGGGAUCGGGCGAUGUUACUAUCUGACUCGCU